rfam:Moniliophthora roreri MCA 2997 sctg_0269_0002, whole genome shotgun sequence.
UUCAAUCUCAAGAUGAAUCAUUACGGAUGUAAAACGAGUUCAAGGACUCGGGAGUCCGACAGCGCAAAAAACCCAUGUGGAUCUUUCCGUUGCCUUCCUUCUGACACCUCCA